rnacentral:rRNA from 1 species
UACGUGAAACCACUCGGGGGUAAACGGAAGAAACCAGAAGUUCCAAAAUGGGAGAUUCACGUCUUCUCGCUGGUUCAGGUCUCUUAUAAUUGAUGAUUCUUCGCCCUGUCCGGUCUUCUGGCUGAGAUGGUGGGUAGAGUCGCUUUUGUAUAAGAACAGUGAGCUAGCGGGGGACCGCACUUCUCCUCAUUGUAGGACGUCGCAACCCGCUUGAUGACGGUCGAAGGGCCAAAUUGACAGCCUGAUUCAAAAUUUUUGUCUAGUACAUUAAUUUUGAACCAGAUCUUUGGUUUAUUUAGACCGUCGUCUGGGCGGUAUCAAACAAUUUAGUGUUGGAUCUCUCCUUGAGAGAGUCUUAGCUUUUUACAAGUUUAUCUUGCAUAGCUAAUUCGGUUCUUUAAUGUUCCGAUUAGCUUCCUUUUAAACUGUUGGUAAAAUGUCCUUUGACAGGUCCAAAACACUUGUUGGCGGCGCUAAAGGUUCUGGAAUUUUUCCGACCCGUCUUGAAACACGGACCAAGGAGUCUAGCGUGUGCGCAAGUCAAUAGGUGUAAAACCUAAAGGCGGAAUGAAAGUGUAACAGUAAGCUUAAAGCUUUCUGAUGGGAGGAUAAGAUGUUGUUCAAUUUGUUGACACGUCUUCGCACUCCCGGGGCGUUUUAUUCUCAUUGCGAGUUGAAACGCACCAGGAGCGUACACGCUGGUACCCGAAAGAUGGUGAACUAUGCCUGGCCAGGACGAAGCCAGGGGAAACCCUGGUGGAGGUCCGAAGCGAUUCUGACGUGCAAAUCGAUCGUCUGAGCUGGGGAUAGGGGCGAAAGACCAAUCGAACCUUC